AGGUUCCGGCACAAGAGAGCUUGCUGCCCCCUAGGACUGUUGCAGCCCGAUCAACUAUUAACAUGACCACCUCAACAAAUGAUACACAUGUUGCAGCACAAGAGAGCUUGCUGCCCCCUAGGACUGUUGCAGCCCGAUCAGCUAUUAACAUGACCACUACAACAAAUGAUACACAUGCUGGAACUGGUGAGAGCUUGCAGCCCCUUAGACAUGAUGUUGCCCAUUCAUCU